rnacentral:tRNA from 1 species
ACCUGAGUGGCUCAGUAGGUUAGGCGUCUGCCUUUGGCUCAGGUCAUGAUUCCAGGAUUGCAGGUUCAAGUCCUGCAUCAGGCU